AAAUGCCUUGACAUAUGAAGUUGCACGAGUGUCAAGGCAUAUCGAGUCGGCGUGUUCCGACUCUAUAUAUUUUUACAUCAUGACUGUGACAUCCGGCAACGCUGUUAUGGCUGUGUGAAAGCAGCUGGAGUGAAGUAAAGCAAUGUGACAAGUUAGGUUAAUAAAUCGCCUAUGUACGCGUCCGUGUGACGGUAACCGACGGCUAAGCACACACGGACACGUGACGUAGACGAUUUUUGCUUGCGUGCGUGCUUUCCCUGUCGCGAUGCCUUGGUGUCAGCGGUUUCUAGUUUGCAUCACCGGAGUAAGAGAAAGAGACAGAAGUUUAUCGUGAAGAAGUGAAUCUCGGCCUAUUGGUACUAGGAUACAUGAUCGCAGAUAAGUUUAUUUAUAUUCACACAUAAUCCUUUUUAUUACAGAAGUUUUACUACAUAUUAUUAAUUUUCAGGUGUUCUACAUUGGAAGGAAAAAGAUAAACUUUGAACAAAGUAUGGACAAAAUAAUGAAAUUUAACUGGGGUAUGCCAAUGUGAUUGCGGAAUGGUACGAGGCAGACUUAACAUUACAGCAACAAAAUUCACUGGAGGAUUGGGCAAUCUGGCUGAAAGGAGUUGUUACUAACCUACUGUGCUUAAACCAUUUGAAGAGAAACCAACGUUCGCUAAAGCUGCACGUCAAUUUUUGCUCAAAUGGUCGUUUUAUAGCUCGAUGAUUAUCCGGGAUCUCACUUUGAGAAGCACGGCGAGUUUCGGAUCUUUUCAUCUCAUCAGCAAUUUAUUAAUAUAGAUUUAACAAUAUAAAUGAAUCUCGGUCUAUUGGUACCAGGAUACAUGAUCGCAGGUGUUCUAGAAGCCAAUCUGUUACCAAGAACAAUGAAGAAAAAGAUUGAUGUGUAUAGAUAUAUAGGUUAUGGACAAAGUAAUGAAUGUGGCAUUGUGCAUAAUGCCCGAGAUCAUUCGGGCAGAGUGAUAAAUAUUUAUUAAUUUUUAAUUUAAAAAUUGCUUCAACCAGGCAAUAUAAAUAUAAAUA